GCCUUAGUAACGGCGAGUGAAGCGGCAACAGCUCAAAUUUGAAAUCUGGCCCUCGGGUCCGAAUUGUAAUUUGUAGAGGAUGAUUUUGGUGCGGUAUCUUCCGAGUUCCUUGGAACAGGACGCCUUAGAGGGUGAGAGCCCCGUACGGUUGAAUGCCUAGCCUCUGUAAAUCUCCUUCGACGAGUCGAGUAGUUUGGGAAUGCUGCUCUAAAUGGGAGGUAAAUUUCUUCUAAAGCUAAAUAUUGGCCAGAGACCGAUAGCGCACAAGUAGAGUGAUCGAAAGAUGAAAAGCACUUUGAAAAGAGGGUUAAAUAGCACGUGAAAUUGUUGAAAGGGAAGGAUUUGUGACCAGACUUUUUCUGGGCGGAUCAUCCGGGGUUCUCUCCGGUGCACUUUGCCCAGUAAAGGCCAGCAUCGAUUUUCGGCGGCGGAUAAAAGCAGUGGGAAUGUGGCUCCCUACGGGGAGUGUUAUAGCCCAUUGUAUAAUACGCUGCUGGGGAUCGAGGUACGCGCUUCUGCAAGGAUGCUGGCGUAAUGGUUAUCAAUCACCCGUCUUGAAACACGGACCAAGGAGUCGAACAUUUAUGCGAGUGUUUGGGUGUUAAACCCUCACGCGUAAUGAAAGUGAACGGAGGUGAGAGCCCGUACGGGUGCAUCAUCGACCGAUCCUGAAGUUUUCGGAUGGAUUUGAGUAAGAGCAUAACUGUUCGGACCCGAAAGAUGGUGAACUAUGCGUGGAUAGGGUGAAGCCAGAGGAAACUCUGGUGGAGGCUCGCAGCGGUUCUGACGUGCAAAUCGAUCGUCAAAUCUGCGCAUGGGGGCGAAAGACUAAUCGAACCAUCUAGUAGCUGGUUACCGCCGAAG
rnacentral:rRNA from 1 species